AGAGUUUGAUCCUGGCUCAGAUUGAACGCUGGCGGCAUGCCUUACACAUGCAAGUCGAACGGCAGCACGGGGCAACCUGGUGGCGAGUGGCGAACGGGUGAGUAAUACAUCGGAACGUACCCUGAAUGGGGGAUAACGUAGCGAAAGUUACGCUAAUACCGCAUAUUCUGUGAGCAGGAAAGAGGGGGAUCGCAAGACCUCUUGCUUUAGGAGCGGCCGAUGUCGGAUUAGCUAGUUGGUGAGGUAAAGGCUCACCAAGGCGACGAUCCGUAGCGGGUCUGAGAGGAUGAUCCGCCACACUGGGACUGAGACACGGCCCAGACUCCUACGGGAGGCAGCAGUGGGGAAUUUUGGACAAUGGGCGCAAGCCUGAUCCAGCCAUGCCGCGUGAGUGAAGAAGGCCUUCGGGUUGUAAAGCUCUUUCGGUGGGGAAGAAAUGGCACGGGUUAAUACCCUGUGUUGAUGACGGUACCCGCAUAAGAAGCACCGGCUAACUACGUG
rnacentral:rRNA from 1 species